rnacentral:lncRNA from 1 species
CUAAGUCAUAAAGCAGCAGCUGGGCCCAAGAUUCCUGGCAUCCUUCCAAUCUCACCUCCCCCGCCCUAUUUACCCAGGAGCAAAAGAAGCGGAGGGAAGCAACACAGCGCAGCGUGACUACGUGCUUGAUCUGUCUCCUCCUAACGGGCAUGCAGGUUGGUUCCAGUUUCCAGCGAUCCUAAACACACUUGGCUGGACCUCCCUGUGCCUACAGAGGCAACCCAGGUGCCUUAGGUAAGUGACCCCAUUCCCUGCCCUGCCUUGGAGGGCCGGAUGAGUCAAAGAGUAAUCUUAUCCCUCUGCUAGUGAGUACAAAUGAAGUCUGUGGGCCAACAAGGAGCGAGGAGCAGUUUCCUGGAAGCCCUGGGCUGGUGUUUGACUUGCUUUGAGAUAGAAUAAAUGGGAGAAAGAGACUUUAUGGGACAUCUGGGCCUAGGGCUCCUGGAUGCUGUGCUGAAAACACCACGUACAGAAGCCAGUCUAACCUUCUGGAUGAUGAGAGCCCAGAUGCAGUACAGAGGUGCCCCAGCCAACAAUCAGCUGCUAUCUGAAUCCCAUCUGGAUCCCAUCUGAAUCCCAUGUCACCAUGAAUGAGGCCACCUUAGCCCAGCCAGCACAGCUGAAAGCCAGAAGCAGCCGCAUGCACAAGCCCAGGGGAAGCCCACAGAGGAACCACCAGCCAACACACAGAAUUGCAAGCAGUUAAGCAACUAAGAUUAAGACAACAAUUUUAAAAUGAACCAGGUCCGGCCGGGUGCGGUGGCUCUCAGGCCUGUAAUCCCAGCACUUUGGGAGGCCGAAGCGAGCGGGUCACCGGAGGUUGGGAGUUCGAGACCAGCCUGACCAACAUGGAGAAACCCCGUCUCUACUAAAAAUACAAAGUUAGCCAGGCGUGGUGGCGCAUGCCUGUAAUCCCAGCUACUCGGGAGGCUGAAGUAAGGUUAUAACAUGGCCUGGCGUGCAGUACGUGCUCAAUAAAUGCUCACCGUUAUUGUUGAUCAGGCAUUUCUGAUCUUGUCCCC